rnacentral:lncRNA from 1 species
GCUUUUCCUCCUCCACCAGCUGAGGCACCCGGUCUCCCGGUUUCCACACGCGUUCAGAGACACAAACUCACCCGCCGCUGAGGAAACGGUACUGCCUUCGCGACCUUCUGGGAUCCAGGUUACGAGUGCGCUCCACUGGUUCGAGAUUUCUGCCCGUCGCUCGCCAGGGAGACUGAGUGCCCAAGCGCCUACUCGCACAGGCCGCAAAUACAGCCGCGCUGCGCGGCGAGCUGAUGGAGGUCUUCCUCUUGCCCGGCGUGCACUGCGGCCGGGGGCGGGGAGCGCGGAACCAUAGAGAAGAACGUAUAUAGAUCGUCUCCGCUGUUGGCUCUGACUCACCAAGCCGAGACGAAUAACCAUAGAGAAGCAGCGUCUAGCGGUUACUAGAAAGGCCCGAACUGUAAAUUAUGACCCACCAUGUUUGAUUGGAGCCGACUGAAUCUUACGACUACGGGACGCCAUCUUGAGGAAGGCAUAAAACGGAUUCAGUAUAAAGUUAUUGCCUCCCUGAGUUCCUGGUGCUGUGUUAAGUGCUGGAAGUAUGAAGGCAAAUGGAAGUGAGAUUUGUUCCUGUCCUGCAAGAACUGUGAGCCAGGUGAAAUAGAUGACAAACCAUGACCAGCCUAAUAUAAAAUUGAAACAUACUACACACUUCCUGCCUGCCUCCCCUACUUAAUUUUACUCUAAAGCACUCAUAACCAUCUAUCAUAACAUACAUUUUUCUUGCUGAUUUUAUGGUCCGUCACUACCCCCACUAGAAUGUGAAUGUAAGCAAUGCAUGGAUUGCCUGUUUUGUGCAAGAACAGGUCCUGGUACAUAGCAAGCGCUCAAUAAAUAUUUGUUGAGUGACAGAAAUGAUUACCGGCCGGGCGCGGUGGCUCACGCCUGUAACCCCAGCACUUUGGGAGGCCGAGGCGGGUGGAUCACCUGAGGUUAGGAGUUCGAGGCCACCCUGGCCAACAUGGCAAAACCCCGUCUCUACUGAAAAUACAAAAAUAAACUAGGCGUGGUGGCAGGCGCCUGUAAUCCCAGCUACUCGGGAGGCUGAGGCAGGAGAAUCGCUUGAACCCUGGAGGCGGAGGUUGCAGUGAGCCGAGAUGGCACCACUGCACUCCAGCCUGGGCAACAAAGUGAGACAUUGUCUCAAAAAAAAAGAAAAGAAAAGAAAAGAAAUGAUUAACAUAUGAUGAGUACCAAUAGAACACAAAAUUUAGUGGGAGCACAAAUGAGAAAGUAGCACUAAUUACUACCAUCUGCAAAAUUUACAUCCUUCUAUACUUCUGCUUGCUAGGUUUCCUUACCAUUAACUAAAGUUAAUAAUACCUUUGGCCGUGCGUGAUGACGAGUGCUUGUAGUCCCAGUUACUUGGGAGACGAA